rnacentral:rRNA from 1 species
UACAGAGGGUGCGAGCGUUGUUCGGAAUUAUUGGGCGUAAAGGGCGCGUAGGCGGUGCGGUAAGUCACCUGUGAAAUCUCCUGGCUCAACUGGGAGCUUGCAGGCGAAACUGCCGUGCUGGAGUGUGGGAGAGGUGCGUGGAAUUCCCGGUGUAGCGGUGAAAUGCGUAGAUAUCCGGAGGAACACCGACGGCGAAGGCAGCGCCCUGGCCGACAUCUGACGCUCAGGCACGAAAGCUGGGGGAGCGAACAGG